rnacentral:rRNA from 1 species
AUGGCAAAGUAUUGGUGGGAUAGUUCCCUUGACAAGCAGGCUUUGCAUUGGCUGGCCUGGGACAAGCUUGCAACACCAGAAGUGAAGGGCGGGAUGGGGUUCCGUGACUUACACAAUUUUAACUUGGCUUUACUUGGGAAACACGGAUGGAGGUUCAUCACAAUUCCGAACUCCUUGUGUGCCAAGGUUAUGAAAGGAAAGUACUUCCCUGAUACAGAUUUUAUGAGUGCUAGUGUUCCUUCAUCGUCUUCAGCAAUUUGGAAAGCGAUUGUUGCAGGCAGGACACACUUGAACCCGAGCUGA